CAAUCCUCCUGCCUCAGCCUCCCAAAGCACUAGGAUUACAGGUGUCAGCCACCACAUCCAGCCUUAACUUAUUAAAACUUCAAAUAACAACCAAGAAAAGGGCAUAAGAUUUUAUGUUCUUCAAAAAUGGGGCAUACUAGUUUUAAAAAGGCAAAGACAUACUGCUUUAGGGUCAACUUUUUAAAAAUGUGCUAUGUAACAAUUCAACUAGUGUCCAAGCCAGCUAGAGAAUUUAAAGGACUUAUUUAUAGUCAGUUAAAUCAGUGAUGAAAUAGGAAUGGCCUUAAAACCAGAACGGGAGGAAACAACCUAAUAGAAUUCAGUGUUGGGUUUUAUGGAACUCAGAAUUACACAUCACCCGAAUUCUGAACACGUGGAGUUACGUGUGUUAGAAACUUCUUCCCGGAAAUUCAGUGACCCUUCUGAAUGUCUUUAUAAGAAAAUCAGCUUUUUGUGCUGCCCCCUCAACCCCACCCACAGAAUUUCUUAUGCUGUACAACACAGAACUUCUCCUGUUCUCACAAAGACUUCGUACAGAGAGAUCUAUUUCUGCUUGGUGUUAGCUAACAUUUAUCUGAAGCCAUAGGAGAGUUGAAACGGUUGUUGGUUGGUUUUGUUUUCUAGGUUUAUUUCUGCAAAAUUUUCCUUGCACAGCUACAACCUUAUAUGUGGGAAGAGGAAGAGACACCAUUUGCAGGGCUAUUAGCUUCCCGUGCUCUCAGAAAAGAGUGAAGCAGAAAGAACCCAAAAUAAUCCACUAUAACAGAGAUUGUUCUUUUUAGGUUCAAGAUACACAGGAAGAGCAAUUUGUACUGAUGUUGCUACUGGUUUAAAGAAAGGUCUCAGUUACCAUCAUCUUAAUUGGUAAAAUUUAACAUUUCACACAUAAUAAGUUGCCAAAGGAACACUCAAACUGCAAAAACAAACCUCAGCUUCUUUCAAACAAAAAAGAAGAAACAAUGUUUUGGCCCUGCUUCAUCAAACCCUUAGACAAAUACGUAAGUCUACAAUUUAUAAUAGUGUCUAGUAAUUCUUAGAAUUCCAUUAACAUUACAUAUCAGACAAUAUAGUCUCUCUUUUAUGGAAAAGUAAACAGUACCAUUAUUUGGCAACAGAAGUAUAUUACAAUCAACAGCACAUCCAUCAAGGGGUGGGCCUGGUCCUACCCCUGGGCAGGGCUGUGAGGGGAGUAACAUGCCACCAGCACUGUGGCCCGCUUGUCACUGGAAGCACAAGGAGGUCACGUUCUGAUGGAUUACAUUCUUUUCCAAACAGGCAAAGGCUAUCUGGGAGGGUUCGCUAGCACUCCUGGGAAGGGAGGGCCCCAUGUUCUAGCUUUUCUUGUCCCCAGACUUUUUUGAAACAACCAGGGCCCAAGGGACAAUUGACUGGCUGACUUGUUCCCACUCACAGCCCUCUUGCCACCCCAGCCAGAUGGCAUCGUUCUAAGGAAGGAGAGUCAGGGCCUGUUUGGGGUGGGUGGACCAGAGCUCAUCUCCUCUGCUGGCAGGCCUUAGGUGACCUUCCAAGGCUGCGCCUGAACAAAGAAAUCUCUCAACAGCUCCAUGUUUGGGAAUAAAGCCAGUUAUGGACCACAUGGACAGUGCCUCUAAGUGAUUUGCAGGUUAUUCAUACAACUAAAUAGAUUCCAGGAAGCUUCCAGAAAUCACAGCUUCCCAUACUCCUGAAGUCAGGAGCUUUACCAGUUCGGGCCUCUCAAAAAAGGGGCUCCAGUUGCUGGUUGACAGCAUUAGGAUGCACGCAGCCUGUUCAAAGAAAUGUUGAAAACCUAACACGUUCUGCAGAUGUCUUUUCAGACCACAGGCCCUCAACCUUCCACCAGCGGUGUCACUCCCAAACACGAUGCCUUGAGAUCACCAGAAACCAGCUCUUUUUGUUACUGCAGUAUUUCCAGGCUGCCAGGGGAGGCUGGACUCCUGGGGUUGCCCCCUCCUGAAAUCAUUUCUGAAUGCCUCUCUCAGGGGUUUAGACAUUGAGUUUCAUGGAAUCCUCCUUAGGUGGCCUAAGGGGCACUUCUGGUGGCCAAGUACAGAAUGUCUGUGCCCCAGAAGCAGCCUGGACUCCUGAUCCUUUUCUGGGAAUGGAGAGAGGAGGAAGGCAUCUUCCCCCUGGGGUCUGCAUGCGACAUGGGCAUCCAGAAGCCUGUCCCAAAACAGCUUAACCCAGAAACCCUAAGCCAUCCAUCCACCCACCUGGCUGUGCAACAGUUGAAGACAGUGAAGAUGCAUCAGGAAAUUUCAUGGAAAACACAAACGCUAAUUAGGG